UUUACUCGGGGAUAGCCUUUCGAAAGAAAGAUUAAUACCCGAUAGCAUAAUGAUUCCGCAUGGUUUCAUUAUUAAAGGAUUCCGGUAAAGGAUGGGGAUGCGUUCCAUUAGGUUGUUGGUGGGGUAACGGCCCACCAAGCCUUCGAUGGAUAGGGGUUCUGAGAGGAAGGUCCCCCACAUUGGAACUGAGACACGGUCCAAACUCCUACGGGAGGCAGCAUG
rnacentral:rRNA from 1 species